rnacentral:pre_miRNA from 7 species
GUCCUAGGUCUGAUAUAUUCAGCAAUAGGGGUUUACUUACCUCCUACUGAAAGACCCCCGAAGGGAGACCCUCACUCAAGCCUCGGGACAGCCGCGGACCCAAGAAGACACUGAGACCG